rnacentral:rRNA from 1 species
UACAGAGGGUGCGAGCGUUGUCCGGAAUUAUUGGGCGUAAAGAGCUUGUAGGCGGUCUGUCGCGUCUGCUGUGAAAAUCCGGGGCUCAACCCCGGACUUGCAGUGGGUACGGGCGGACUGGAGGCCAGUAGGGGGAUGCGGAAUUCCGGGUGUAGUGGUGGAAUGCGUAGAGAUCCGGAGGAACACCAGCGGCGAAGGCGGCAUCCUGGACUGGUCCUGACACUCAGGAGCGAAAGCGUGGGGAGCGAUCCGG